UUUUAUGGAGAGUUUGAUCCUGGCUCAGGAUGAACGCUGGCGGCGUGCCUAAUACAUGCAAGUCGAGCGAACGGACGAGAAGCUUGCUUCUCUGAUGUUAGCGGCGGACGGGUGAGUAACACGUGGAUAACCUACCUAUAAGACUGGGAUAACUUCGGGAAACCGGAGCUAAUACCGGAUAAUAUUUUGAACCGCA
rnacentral:rRNA from 1 species